GUUAAAAUCAGAUUUGAAGGCGAGAUUCACCUAGCUAAUCAUAGUAAACCAGAUGUUGGCUUGAUUGUGUAUAGUUCUGUAGGAAAUGUUGAUAAAUUUUAUAAGAUACUGAAUCAAAUAUCUUAUGCUGAAACCACAUUUAAAAUGCUAAAAGAUAACUUGAUAAAAGUAAUUUUAUAUUGAAAGAUAUCACAUUUAAAAUGCUAAAAGAUAACUUGAAAAAAAGUAACUUUAUAUAGAAAGAUGGAUAUUUGUAUAUGGUCAAUGAUUUUAGACGUCAUGGGAAUUCAAUGUUCAAGUUUCUUGCAGGCGAUGGCUGAUUCUGCACGACCUGCUUACAUUUUAGAGACGAGGAAAACUGCUCCAGGUUUACGUUUGGUGGAUAAAUGGGCAGUGUAGAUCACUAACUUCACUCAAUAUUUUAAUAUCUCCAUUUCCCCACUUUUCUGAUGGUCUAUGAUUUUUUCCCAAUUAUUUUUACAGGUCUUAAUAGGUGAAGGUCAGAAUCACAGAUCGAGUUUAUUCUAUGUGUUCAAGAUUAAAGACAAUUAUAUAUUAAUUGCUGGAGCUAUCUCAAAUGCCCUGAAAUCUGUCGACCUCUAUUUGGAGCAAAAUAAUCUUAAAAUGGGUGUUGAGGCAGAGUAUUAACAUUUUAGGUUUAAUUAUUCUAGUUCUUAGACUGAAAAUUCAAAACUUCUUACUUCAUAAAUUAUGUGGAUCGUCAACAUUCUAAUAUCUUGAUUUAGCCUGCCUAAAUAUAAAUGUUGUUUAAUCGCUCCUAAUUAACUCCAAGUAUAUAACUUUGGGGAAAGUUCUCUGUCUUUGCACAUAUGCCAUUUUUUAUUGUCACGUGUGAUCCAAUACUGCGAAUGUGCAAUUGCAUCAGUGUGACUGGAUACGCUUUGUGUAUUUGUUACUCAAUUUAUUUAAUUCUUUUCUCUUCACAAUUAUUGAAACAUUGGCUUCGGUACACAGUCAAACUGUUAAUUCUUUUGACCAAUAUAUUAUGUUCAUAUGAUAAGUUAUUACUUAGUUUGGUAUUCAUUAAAGUUAGAUGAAAAAUUUAUUUAAAUUAUAUGCAAUAGCUUUACUGGUCAACAAUAGGAUGUUACAGAAAAUAUGAAGGUCAUAUUUUUUAUCCAUGGGGAGUGGAGAUGGUUUGAAUCGAUCACAUUGGGACGUUACAAGGAUG
rnacentral:lncRNA from 1 species